GCGGCGCCGGCCACAGAUGGCAGCUGAGGUGCCCCCGGAGGCUGCCCGCUGCUACGACACGAGUGUUACACGGGAAACGCUGUUAUCCUCCGCUUCCGCCUCGCACGCGCUGACCGGACGCCUCUGUCGGUUUCUCGGCUGUGCAAAUCGCGGACACACUCCUUGCGCACGCGACAGGCAACCGGAAUGUUGUUUUUUAUUCCAAUGUGAAAAAAACAAAAAAAACAAGGGCACUGUCUGUCUUGUUUUGCAGGUGUGGGUGGAAGCGUUGAGCCGUCACUUGAAGCACAUCCUGCAAAGUAACAGGACUGUGUGAGCAGAAACGAUCACUACAAUCUAUAGCAGAGAAUGUGAGAUUUGUGUGGGAAUGCUAAUAAACGCUAGAGGAACGGAUCUGAGAUUCUGUUGCGAGGGGACUCUGAACGGGUUCUUCCUAAAUUGGCCCUAUUGACUCCAUCUCUGACUCUUUCUUGUGUUAAAGUGCUUUUGGCGGAUCUCGUUAAAGCCAGACGUCACAUCUAAAAGAGGCUUAAUGCAGAUCUGCCCGAGGCCUUGCAUCUCGGAGCAGCAUUGGAAAGUCCUGGAAUCAGUCGGAGACCCUAAAGCCCCCUGGGACGUCGUCGGACGUCUUUAGUCCCGUAGAUACAAAACUGAAACCGUCACUGGAAGACGCGUGACAGGAGCUGACACGAUGCUCCGCCAUCCAUGGAAAAAGCGGCGGCGGGAGAAGAAUGCGAGGGGGACGAGAAGAGAGAGCGCAAAGAGGCAGAGAUGCACUUCCUGGCAGCGCUCAAAAAUAGAGCAGCUCAGGAGGCUUCUUCUAAAUGUGAGCAGCAAAAAAAAGGAGACUUUACAGGGAAUGUUUAAUCUUUCUGGGAAGAGUCGGCGUUGCCUGUGAAUGUGAUGCGUUUGGUGGGUGUUGUACCCAGGGAAAAGGGAAAACUAGAGGCAGAACAACAAACCCAGAGCCACUUAAAGCUGUUUAACCAUAGUCAUAGUCAUUAAACACCUUCCCACACACCACAGUGAGCUGCAGGAGCUAAUGAGCUAUUAUUAACGUAACUAUUGCUGAUACUGUGAAAUCAUAAUGAAUACAAUUGCUGAAAUUCUUUGUGGAUGAACACACAUCCCUUCCCUUCUCUUGCCACUUGCUUGACAAGUGUGUCUUUGUGUCUGACGCCUUUUUAUUUAAGAGUCUAUUUUUGCUCCGUUCUCUCUUGACCUCCAUAGUUCUGGGUGAUGUGCUUCUCUCAGAUCUCGAGUUUUAAUCAGCUCAGUUGGACACCCUGAAUAACAGACAGUGGAUUUGUGUUUCCCCUGCUGCUCCGCCAUCAAAUUAUGCCCAGCGUUUACCCAAAUUCCUGUAAUGCUGCAUAUAUUUCAAAAGAAACGCAUAGAAUGAAUAUUUGCUUGUAAUGUAUCCCUUAAUCAAACCCUCAGCAGAUAGUGUCUUGUCUCGUCGACCUCUUUCCACGGCCUAAUUUAUUCUUAGACGACGCCAUCUGGAGGUCUGUGGACUCUGCUGUUUCCUAGACCGUGAGGAAUGACGCCCAGGUCUCUCGUGUCCUUAAUGGCUGGAGUUUCUUAAUAUGAAUAAAGGUGUUGCGGCCGCAUGUGAAUGCACCUGUGUCACCCGCGGUUUUGAUGUAUCAUUGUCAAAAAGCGCACCAGAUGCAUCGGUGAUGAGUAUGCAAAAAUAUGCGUGCCCAUCUCUCCACACCAACACUGAUUUACUGUAGCUUGUCAGCACAUCACCUUGCAAAGAUCCAGUUUCCUGCCUUCUCACCAUCUUUUACUAUCCUUGCGUGAAGGAAUUUGAUGAAAAAUGCUGCAUGUAUUUCAUCCUGGUCUUUAGUGAAUGUGCCAAACGUUAAGGCUGAUUUAAUGUAAUUAAAGAUUUGCCAGUUUCAUUAAUCUUACUUCUCCUUAAUCACCCUAUUAUGGAUUAAAAAUAAGACCUGUAAAGAGUGAAAUCAUUUUAUGUUUAUCGGCCCAGCGAAUAAAUAUGUAAAAUAGACAUUGCUUGAAUUGGAAUAAAACAUGAAGGAGGAUUUAGAGGCUGAUGAGGAGCGUGAGAGAGGAUUUUUAAGGUUCUUACCCUGCUGGUUCCCUGCAGGUUUCCAUGCAGCCACUUGUUACUGAGAGGUAAACUGCUUGAUGUCGGAGCCCCUUGAGGCUAAUAAAGAAGAGCUCUGACAAUAUCUUAACUGGAAGCGUAAGCCUCCAGUCAAUGAAACCCCUCUGGCAUCAUGCACUUUUAAGUGGCAGAAUAAGGAUCGGUUCAAACGCGCCGGAUGAGUUGUACACCCACCGGAUGAAUUACUGAUGACUGCUAAAAAAUCACUGUAUAAGACGUGACAGUGAGUGAGUUAGAUGUGUAAAUCUAUAUCACCUCAUCACCUCUGAUGCUCUGUAGUGUCUCUUGAUGAUCCUGGAGGAACUGUGCUGGGCCCCUGUAGAAUGCAGGGCCUGACCCCCUCCAUAUUCAAAACAGCUUUGAUAAUGUAAUAAAAUGUGUCUGUUAAAGUAUGAAUCAAGUGUGUAAUACAAAGUAUACAACUAACAGACUGAUUUUAUUUUCAGGAACUAGAUAAUCCUUAUUUUAUUUUUUUUUAUUUACCCAGGUAAAACAGCGCCCCCUCGAGGUUGUAACGACUGUUAAUGAUCGUGGUCAAAGAUGACAUUGCGCAUGCGUGGAUCCUGGCCCAGGUGCACUUUCACCUUAUAAUUGAAAGAUGGUCAACGUUGUUUGUGAAGCGCUUUUGCCAUUUUUAUAAUCAAUAGCAUUUGGAAAUAACCAUCGGAGCAAAGAAUGGGACACGAGCAUGAACCAAUUAACGGCGGCAGCGUCUAAUAAGAAACAGAGAAGCAGCAAGAUGGUGUCGUGGUAAGAAGCACUUCGGACGAACCCGUUUAUAAACCAGCAAGAAGUGGAGUGACCCUCCUGAAGGACCAAGGGCGAGAGGCUUCACAGCGUGUGCACUGUCGUCCUUUACGUUUACCUUGUUGUGAGAACCGUUCACCUUUAUGCUGUUGAGGAGGAAGGUUUUUCUUAAAGUUCGUAAUGAAACAUUUUAUGAUUUGCUUCUGAAUCUUGAUCAUCAGAGGUUGUUUUUAUUAUAUUAAGAACGUGUGCAGAUUGGCCUUAAAGCUGGUGACACCGUCUCUUGUGGAUGAAAACAAGCUGCGCAGGUGAAGCGUUGGG